GGGGUUGUGGCUCAGUGGUAGAGCGCUUGCCUAGCGUGCGUGAGGCGCUGGGUUCAAUCCUCAGCAUCACAU
rfam:Ictidomys tridecemlineatus contig006774, whole genome shotgun sequence.